rnacentral:rRNA from 1 species
UACGUAGGGAGCGAGCGUUGUCCGGAUUCAUUGGGCGUAAAGAGCUCGUAGGCGGCUUGGUAAGUCGGAUGUGAAACCUCCAGGCUCAACCUGGAGUCGCCAUCCGAUACUGCUAUGGCUAGAGUCCGGUAGGGGCCCACGGAAUUCCUGGUGUAGCGGUGAAAUGACGCAGAUAUCAGGAGGAACACCGAUGGCGAAGGCAGCUCGCUGGGACGUGACUGACGCUGAGACGCGAAAGCGUGGGGAGCAAACAGG